CCAAUAGCGUAUAUUAAAGUUGUUGCAGUUAAAAAGCUCGUAGUUGAAUUUCGGGAUCAGUACGCUGGUCGUGCCUUCGGUAUGCACUGGUGUCACUGGUUCCUCCCUUCUGACGAACCGUCAUGCCAUUCACUUGGUGUGGCAGGAAAUCAGGACUGUUACUUUGAAAAAAUUAGAGUGUUUAAAGCAGGCUCACGCUUGAAUACAUUAGCAUGGAAUAAUGAAAUAGGACGUUGAUCUUAUUUUGUUGGUUUCUAGGAUUGACGUAAUGAUUAAUAGGGAUAGUUGGGGGCAUUAGUAUUCAAUUGUCAGAGGUGAAAUUCUUGGAUUUAUUGAAGACUAACUACUGCGAAAGCAUUUGCCAAGGAUGUUUUCAUUAAUCAAGAACGAAAGUUAGGGGAUCGAAGACGAUCAGAUACCGUCGUAGUCUUAACCAUAAACUAUGCCGACUAGGGAUCGGAUGAUGUUAAUUUUUUAAUGACUCAUUCGGCGCCUUACG
rnacentral:rRNA from 1 species